rnacentral:other from 1 species
ACGAAUCUGAUCGACGCAUUGAUUUAUAAGCAUGGAAAUCCCCUGAGUGAAACAACGAAUUGCUGUGUGUAGUCUUUGCCCAUCUCCCACGAUGGGCCUUUUUUUAA